rnacentral:lncRNA from 1 species
AAGUUUUCAACAAGGUGCGCAGGGGGCAUACGUUGGCUUAGCUUUUUUUUCAAGGCGAUAUACGUUCCGCUUAAACUAUCGGAUGUGUACGCUCUGCCUUAACUCAUAUGCCGGGCUUGUAACGGGGCCCCCAGCUGGACCGCUGCAACUCGCCAGUUAAGUGGCAUGGCCCUUUUUGUCGUUGAGACUUGCAUUUGUACUCCAUUAUCCCCGGAUUGGUCUCUUGUUGGCUGAUGCGCAACAGGAUUAGGUGAUGCUAGGGAUUUGGGAUAAGGUGAGCGUCAAACUCGACGUCCUGUGACGCAUGCUAGCGACACAUCGCGUGAUGCACCCGCCAGCAAGCCGGGCUCAAGAGCCUGACGCAAACCUCCCGACAACGACAACUCCGAAGCGCGUGUGGACUGAUAAGCUGAUGCCUUGGGGACCACGUCCUUUUCACCACUAUCCGACGAGGAAGGGGAGGAUUGCGAGAGGAAUAAAAGCGCAGCCGGGAAUAACACGUUGGCCGUCCUGCUUUCCCGCCAGUUCAAUCCGAAGUGCCUGUGUGACUAUGCAUUGUUCCGUCCGCCCCGUCCCCCGCCCGUCGUAUCACCCCGUCUCGUCCCAGCAGAGGCCGUGGAAUAUGAUGUGGAAGACGACCAGGGCGGUCCCAUGCCCCGUGAUGCACUGGAGUCCUGGCAGGUGGGCAACAGCAGCACCAGCAGCUUUUACUGCGGGCUGUGGGUUACCUAGGGUUACCUACUGCCUGAUACAGAAUCAAGGGUGUGAGUUUGCGGUGCAUGGUGACACAUUAAAAACAACGGUACGUUGUUGCUGUUGGUGCAUGUGGUGCAGGACGACUCGGAGGGCGACGAGGUAGAUCCGGGGAGCCGGAUGUAUCGCGGGCCAGCUGACGGCUAUGAUGUAGCCGGCGGCGUCAGCGGCACCGUCGCGGACAGGCACUCCGGCGGCGAGAGCACCUCGAAGCCUGUGAGCUAUGGGGAUGGGUCGUGUUAUCACUCGGAGUACGCGCAGGCCGGUCACCAGCAUGACUACCAUCAUGGAAAUGGGGUGACGGCGGGGAUACAGGCAAGUGGUGGAGAUGAGGUGAGGGACCAUGCAGAUUUGGGGAUUUGGUAACGUCGGCUAAGUUGACAGUGUUAGUAACAUAGUACCAGGGGAACAAGGAACGGAUCUGGGCCUGGCUCUGGGCUUGAUCAGUGGGCCUACGGUACACUCCAGGGGUUGUGCUGUGCAGCGCGUCAAAGUUGUUUGGGUGGUGGGAUAUGGGGACUGCGGGACAGCUGCCGUUUGGUGGCAGCAUGU